ACGAAGGGUGCAAGCGUUACUCGGAAUUACUGGGCGUAAAGCGUGCGUAGGUGGUUUGGUAAGUCUGAUGUGAAAGCCCUGGGCUCAACCUGGGAACUGCAUUGGAAACUGGCUUACUAGAGUGCGGUAGAGGGGUGUGGAAUUCCUGGUGUAGCGGUGAAAUGCGUAGAUAUCAGGAGGAAUACCGGUGGCGAAAGCGACUCUCUGGACGGCAACUGACGCUGAGGCACGAAAGCGUGGGGAGCAAACAGGA
rnacentral:rRNA from 1 species